CGACCCGCACGAAUGGUGUAACGACUAAAGCACUGUCUCGAUGAAGGACCCGGCGAAAUUGAAGACGCGGUAAAGAUGCCGUGUACCCGCAGCAGGACAAAAAGACCCCGUGGAGCUUUACUGCAACUUGACACUGGGUAAGGGUUUAGCUUGUGUAGGAUAGGUGGGAGGCAGCGAAGCCAGGGCGCCAGCCUUGGUGGAGCCGUCGGUGAAAUACCACCCUGGCUAAAUCUUCACUCUAACUCUCAGCCGUAAACCGGCGAGGGGACCGUGUCAGGCGGGCAGUUUGACUGGGGUGGUCGCCUCCCAAAAGGUAACGGAGGCGCCCAAAGGUUCCCUCAGGUGGAAUGGAAACCCACCGCAGAGUGCAAAGGCAAAAGGGAGCUUGACUGCGAGGCCGACGGGCCGAGCAGAGACGAAAGUCGGGCUUAGUGAUCCCACGGUACCGAGUGGAAGGGCCGUGGCAAACGGAUAAAAGCUACCCCGGGGAUAACAGGGUGGUAGGGCCCAAGAGUUCACAUCGACGGCCCUGGUCGCCACCUCGAUGUCGGCUCGGCACAUCCUGGGGCUGGACAAGGUCCCAAGGGUUGGACUGUUCGUCCAUUAAAGUGUCACGUGAGCUGGGUUCAGACCGUCGUGAGACAGGUCGGUCUCUAUCCGCUGUGGGCGUAGGGGACUUGAGGGGAGCUGCCCUCAGUACGAGAGGACCAGGGUGGACGAACCGCUAGUGUGUCAGUUGUACCGCCAGGUGCAUGGCUGAGUAGCUAGGUUCGGCAAGGAUAACCGCUGAAAGCAUCUAAGUGGGAAGCCAGCCCCGAGACAAGGUCCCCCAUCCCGAAAAGGGAGUAAGGCCGCUGGAAGACUACCAGUUAGAUAGGCGGGAGGUGUAAGCGCAGCAAUGCGUUAAGCUAACCCGUACUAACGGCCGAGGGCUUCCUUAC
rnacentral:rRNA from 1 species